rnacentral:rRNA from 1 species
UACGGAGGGUCCAAGCGUUAUCCGGAAUUAUUGGGUUUAAAGGGUGCGUAGGCGGGAUAUUAAGUCAGUGGUGAAAUCUUGCAGCUCAACUGAGAAACUGCCAUUGAUACUGAUAUUCUUGAGUUUGGCUGAAGUGGGCGGAAUGAGGCAUGUAGCGGUGAAAUGCAUAGAUAUGACACAGAACACCGAUUGCGAAGGCAGCUCACUAAACCAAUACUGACGAUGAGGCACGAAAGCGUGGGGAGCGAACAGG